rnacentral:tRNA from 1 species
GAGGGUAUAGCUCAGUGGUUGAGCACAUGCUUAGCAUGCAUGAUAUACUAGGUUCAAUCCCCAGUACCUCUG